GGGUUGUGAGGUUAAGCGACUAAGCGUACACGGUGGAUGCCCUGGCAGUCAGAGGCGAUGAAGGACGUGCUAAUCUGCGAUAAGCGCCGGUAAGGUGAUAUGAACCGUUAUAACCGGCGAUUUCCGAAUGGGGAAACCCAGUGUGAUUCGUCACACUAUCAUUAACUGAAUCCAUAGGUUAAUGAGGCGAACCGGGGGAACUGAAACAUCUAAGUACCCCGAGGAAAAGAAAUCAACCGAGAUUCCCCCAGUAGCGGCGAGCGAACGGGGAGGAGCCCAGAGCCUGAAUCAGCAUGUGUGUUAGUGGAAGCGUCUGGAAAGGCGCGCGAUACAGGGUGACAGCCCCGUACACAAAAGCGCAUGUGCUGUGAGCUCGAUGAGUAGGGCGGGACACGUGGUAUCCUGUCUGAAUAUGGGGGGACCAUCCUCCAAGGCUAAAUACUCCUGACUGACCGAUAGUGAACCAGUACCGUGAGGGAAAGGCGAAAAGAACCCCGGCGAGGGGAGUGAAAAAGAACCUGAAACCGUGUACGUACAAGCAGUGGGAGCCCCACCACUAAGCCAGUGGUGAACUCCACAUCCGCAUCCUUUGCUGAGGAUACGGUUAACGGAGCGAAAGCGACGUUCAACCGCAAAACAAGCAGAGGGGGCUUAGUGGUGGGGUGACUGCGUACCUUUUGUAUAAUGGGUCAGCGACUUAUAUUCUGUAGCAAGGUUAACCGAAUAGGGGAGCCGGAGGGAAACCGAGUCUUAAUUGGGCGUUAAGUUGCAGGGUAUAGACCCGAAACCCGGUGAUCUAGCCAUGGGCAGGUUGAAGGUUGGGUAACACUAACUGGAGGACCGAACCGACUAAUGUUGAAAAAUUAGCGGAUGACCUGUGGCUGGGGGUGAAAGGCCAAUCAAACCGGGAGAUAGCUGGUUCUCCCCGAAAGCUAUUUAGGUAGCGCCUCGUGAAUUCAUCUCCGGGGGUAGAGCACUGUUUCGGCUAGGGGGCCAUCCCGGCUUACCAACCCGAUGCAAACUGCGAAUACCGGAGAAUGUUAUCACGGGAGACACACGGCGGGUGCUAACGUCCGUCGUGAAGAGGGAAACAACCCAGACCGCCAGCUAAGGUCCCAAAGUCAUGGUUAAGUGGGAAACGAUGUGGGAAGGCCCAGACAGCCAGGAUGUUGGCUUAGAAGCAGCCAUCAUUUAAAGAAAGCGUAAUAGCUCACUGGUCGAGUCGGCCUGCGCGGAAGAUGUAACGGGGCUAAACCAUGCACCGAAGCUGCGGCAGCGAACGUAUCACCCAAGACAACUUUACGGAGUUGACGAUUGACGGAGCGAAGCGACGUCAAAGCGUUCAUUAAAGUCGAGUUGGCUUAGGGAUACGUUCGUUGGGUAGGGGAGCGUUCUGUAAGCCUGUGAAGGUGUGUCGUGAGGC
rnacentral:rRNA from 1 species